GACAACGCUGGGGGCUCUGAAGUGUGUGUAACAGCGGUGGCGCAAGCAUCAUGAUUUACAUUUGAGUGAGUGGCGAACUGGUGAGUAACACGUGGGAAACCUGCCCAGAAGCGGGGGAUAACACCUGGAAACAGAUGCUAAUACCGCAUAACAACUUGGACCGCAUGGUCCGAGUUUGAAAGAUGGCUUCGGCUAUCACUUUUGGAUGGUCCCGCGGCGUAUUAGCUAGAUGGUGGGGUAACGGCUCACCAUGGCAAUGAUACGUAGCCGACCUGAGAGGGUAAUCGGCCACAUUGGGACUGAGACACGGCCCAAACUCCUACGGGAGGCAGCAGUAGGGAAUCUUCCACAAUGGACGAAAGUCUGAUGGAGCAACGCCGCGUGAGUGAAGAAGGGWUUCGGCUCGUAAAACUCUGKUGKUAAAGAAGAACAUAUCUGAGAGUAACUGUUCAGGUAUUGACGGUAUUUAACCAGAAAGCCACGGCUAACUACGUGCCAGCAGCCGCGGUAAUACGUAGGUGGCAAGCGUUGUCCUGGAUUUAUUGGGCGUAAAGCGAGCGCAGGCGGUUUUUUAAGUCUGAUGUGAAAAGCCUUCGGCUCAACCGAAGAAGUGCAUCGGAAACUGGGAAACUUGAGUGCAGAAGAGGACAGUGGAACUCCAUGUGUAGCGGUGAAAUGCGUAGAUAUAUGGAAGAACACCAGUGGCGAAGGCGGCUGUCUGGUCUGUAACUGACGCUGAGGCUCGAAAGUAUGGGUAGCAAACAGGAUUAGAUACCCUGGUAGUCCAUACCGUAAACGAUGAAUGCUAAGUGUUGGAGGGUUUCCGCCCUUCAGUGCUGCAGCUAACGCAUUAAGCAUUCCGCCUGGGGAGUACGGCCCGCAAGGCUGAAACUCAAAGGAAUUGACGGGGGCCCGCACMAGCGGUGGAGCAUGUGGUUUAAUUYGAAGCUACGCGAAGAACCUUACCAGGUCUUGACAUACUAUGCAAAUCUAAGAGAUUAGACGUUCCCUUCGGGGACAUGGAUACAGGUGGUGCAUGGUUGUCGUCAGCUCGUGUCGUGAGAUGUUGGGUUAAGUCCCGCAACGAGCGCAACCCUUAUUAUCAGUUGCCAGCAUUAAGUUGGGCACUCUGGUGAGACUGCCGGUGACAAACCGGAGGAAGGUGGGGAUGACGUCAAAUCAUCAUGCCCCUUAUGACCUGGGCUACACACGUGCUACAAUGGAUGGUACAACGAGUUGCGAACUCGCGAGAGUAAGCUAAUCUCUUAAAGCCAUUCUCAGUUCGGAUUGUAGGCUGCAACUCGCCUACAUGAAGUCGGAAUCGCUAGUAAUCGCGGAUCAGCAUGCCGCGGUGAAAACGUUCCCUGUCUGUUGUUCCAUUCCCUCCCCCUCGUUUGAGCGCUCAUUGAAAC
rnacentral:rRNA from 2 species